AAUCCUUGUAUCUUUCAUGAAGAGAACAAUGAAUAAUUUUACAAAUUCCACAAAUACUUGUGUUAAUCGCUCCGAGAGGGAGAGGGUGUGAGACCCAAAAUCGUCUCACAAGGAGAGGGUGUGAGGCUCACUUUCUAUCCUACUCCUUCUACUUAAGAUUCAGUGUUCCUGCGACUCUGAUUCGACUCCACCAUCUACCCACGCAAGCCUAUUCUGCCAAGAAAAGAUCUGUCUCCUCCAGAAUUUUCAUCUAUCAUGCUGAGAGGGAGUGAUUUCUUAUUCUACAGAUCAUAUGCUGUCAAGGACCUUCGUUCCUUAAUAGUUGAUUUUUGAUUUUUUUUUUUAAUCCGAUGUUGGUAAAGACCUAGUUCUUUAUCGAUGGAUCUGUUUGGUUAAAAGAUUAAGAGCCCUAAUCAGAGUAGUUUUUUAACUACUACGAUUCGGAUUCUUAUCACUUUCUUAGAUUUUUUCACGGGUUUAAUGUUUUAUUUUCUUUCGUUCCAUUUAUAUUUCUUUUUGCCUUUACUCGUGAGCAUNNNNNNNNNNNNNNNNNNNNUCACUAUUUUGGAUGGUACGAAAUGUCUGAAGCAAAGAGAGUUAGGUUUGUUAGGAUGAAAUUGGUUAGGCAAGUCCGACUUUAUUGGAAAAAUGUUGAGCGUCUUCUCAAUCAGAGAAGAUAAGAUCCGAUAGAAACUUGGGAUGAGAUGAAAAAAAUUCAGAGAGAAGUACCUCCCCAUCUCUUAUCAACAAAGACUUUUAGAUCAAUGGCAGAAGCUUACUCGAGGGAAUAGAUCAGUCAUCGAGUAUAUCACGAGGUUUGAUGAAUACCUCAUGAGAUGUGGAGUAGCCGAAGAUAGGGUUGUUAUCUUAUCUAAAUUUAGAGCUGGAUUACGAGAAGAUAUUCAGCGUGAGCUUUUUCUACGAGAGGUAAUCACGUUGGAAUAAGCUUAUCAACUUGUCUUAGACUUUGAGAGAUUUUCUAGAUAUUCGACUCUCCGUCGUUCUGAAUCCAGUCGAGUAACCCCUUCUGGAUCGAGACUUAAUAUUAAUCAAACUCUUAGUAACGGACCUUCACUUACAAAUCUUAUUGGGAGAAAAGAAGAUAAAAGAAAAAGAGCUAUAGGAGAGUUAUCAAAAGGAAGUAGUUUUCGAUCCCAUUGCUUCAAGUGCCAUGGUUACGGUCAUUUUGCUGCACAAUGCCCCAACCGAUCAUUAUUCAUAGAAGAAUUAGAAGGAGAAACUCUAGAAAAUAUUGAGGAGGAAGUUUAUGAAGCUGAUCCAGAUUUAGCCGAGCAAUUUGAGAGUACUGAGGAUAUUCUAGGUUAUGCCGCAUCCGAGUCAGACCUUAGGCUUGGAGUCGUUAGGUAUGUCCUAGCAUAAACUAAAGAAAGUGAAGAUUGGCGUUGGACCUCUAUUUUCCAUACCUUCAUAAAAUUUGACGAUAAAAUUUGUAAGGUGAUCAUUGAUAGCGGUAGUUGUAUCAACGCUAUCUCCACCAACACGGUUAAGCGAUUAGGAUUAACUCCUGUGGAUCAUCCCAGUCCAUACCGUGUGUCUUGGAUUGAUUCCUCUUCUAUUCCCAUCAAAUUUAGAUGCUGUGUGCCCAUCCAACUUCAUUCCUACCAGGAUUAUGUGUGGUGCGAUGUCUUACCCAUGAAAGUCGAAAGUAUCAUAUUAGGUCGGUCUUGGCUAUUCGACAAUGAUGUUACGAUUUAUGGCCGAACCAACUCCUGUAGCUUUACUCAUCAGGAUAAGAAGAUCAUAAUUAAUCCUUUCCCACUUAAGGCUACUAAUAGAAAGAUAGGCGAUGGAUCAAAAGAAAAUCUCAAGAGAAAAAGCCUCCAUCUGAUAGGUGCUACAGAAUUAGAGACGACCAUGAGUGAAGGAUCACCAGUUUGGAUGCUUGCUACUAGAAAAGUUCGUGAGGAUUCUAAGGUGGAUUAUCCUAAGGAAGUAGCUAGCCUUCUUAGUGAGUUUCAUGAUGUCUUUUCUGAGGAUCUUUCAGAUUACUUACUGCCUAUGAGAAACAUUCAACAUGCCAUUGAUUUAGUUUCUGGAUCUACCCUACCCAAUUUGCCCCACUAUAGGUUGAACCCUAAUGAGCAUGCCAAGCUACAAAGAUAAGUUGGAGAACUGAUAAAAAAAAGAUUUGUGAGGGAGAGUUUGAGUCCUUGCACAGUUCCUGCACUACUAACUCCAAAGAAGGAUGGUACAUAGAGGAUGUGCAUAGAUAGUCGUGCCAUUAACAAGAUCACCAUUAAGUACCAUUUUUCCAUCUUUAGAUUAGAUGACAUGUUAGAUAUGAUAGCCGGAUCCACUAUCUUUUCUAAGAUUGAUCUUAAGAGUGGUUACCAUCAAGUAAGGAUUAGAUCAGGAGAUGAGUGAAAAACUGCUUUCAAGAUAAAAAAUGGUUUAUAUGAGUGGAUGGUGAUGCCAUUUGGAUUAUCUAAUGCCCCUAGUACCUUCAUGAGAUUGAUGACCCAAGUACUACGAUCAUUUAUAGGAGUAUUUGUAGUCGUAUAUUUUGAUGAUAUUUUGAUCUAUAGUCGAACUAGGGAAGACCAUCUAGAUCAUCUCCAAAGAGUGUGUCAAGUUCUUAAAACAUAAAGCUUGUAUGCUAAUCCUAAGAAGUACGCUUUUAUGACAGAUCAUAUCAUCUUUUUAAGUUUUGUUGUUACCCCCAAUGGUGUAUCUGCUAAUCCUGAAAAGAUUAGAGCAAUAGUUGAGUGGCCGGUGCCCAAGAGUGUGCAUGACGUGUGGAGUUUUUAUGGAUUAGUAACCUUUUAUCGUAGGUUUAUAAAAGGGUUUAGCACCAUAGUCGCUCCCAUCACUGACUGCAUUAGAAAGAAAAAAUUUGAAUGGACUAGGACAGCCAAUAGAGUCUUUCUAGACAUUAAGGACAAGAUGACCCAUGCCCCAAUCUUACGUCUUCCUGAUUUUUUUAAGAUUUUUGAAGUAGCGUGCGAUGCGUCAGGAGUUGGGAUUGGUGGUGUCCUUAGUCAAGAAGGUCAUCCGGUAGCAUACUUUAGCGAGAAACUUAACGAUUCUAAACUCAAGUAUUCUACCUACGAUAAGGAGUUUUAUGCGGUAAUCCAAGCUUUAAGAUAUUAGAGGCAUUAUUUACUACCGUAAGAAUUUGUGUUGUACUCUGAUCAUAAGGCCCUUAGAUUCCUGAAUUCCCAAAAGAAAUUGAAUCAUAGACACGAUAGGUGGGUCGAGUUUUUGCAAGCCUAUAUUUUUGUUUUGAAACACCAUGCAGGUGUAGAGAAUCGUGGUGCUGAUAUCCUGAGUCGUCGUCAUACUUUGCUGUCCACCGUUAGUAUAGAAGUUGUUGGUUUUGAUAAGGUUAAAGAAAAUUAUGAGGAGUGUCCAGAUUUUGGUGACAUACUUACCGCUUUACGAAAGGGGUCAUCUAGAGAAUAUAGUGAAUAUACCCUUCAAGAUGGUUACCUAUUUAGAGAAACUAGGCUGUGUAUCCCCCGUAUAUUUUUAAAAGAUUUUUUAGUUUGGGAAUUACAUGCUGAAGGAUUAGCUGGACACUUUGGUAGGAAUAAAACUAUAAAGUUGGUAGAAGUCCAGUUCUUUUGGCCAAGCUUGAAAAGAGAUAUCGUCCGAAUUGUUGCCCAAUGUAGAACAUGUGUCGUGACCAAGCAGAGAAAACAAAACACCGGCCUAUAUACACCCUUACCUAUACCAGACUGUCCUUGGCAGGAUGUUAGUAUGGAUUUUAUUUUGGGAUUACCUGGGACAGCUAGGAAGCAUGAUUCUAUUCUAGUGGUUGUAGAUAGAUUUUAAAAAAUGGCCCAUUUCUUGUCCUGUUGCCAAACGUCUGAUGCGUCGAAAGUUGCAAGGAUAUAUUUUGAUGAGAUUGUUAGACUACAUGGAUUGCCUAAAACCAUUGUUUCUGAUAGGGAUGUUAGAUUUAUGAGCUACUUUUGAAAAACCCUAUGGCACCUUUUAGGCACAAAACUAAAGUUUUCUUCUGCCUAUCAUCCGCAAACAGACAGUCAGACCGAAGUGGUUAAUAGGAGUCUUGGAAAUCUUUUGCAUUGCUUGAUUAGAGAACAUAUGGAUAACUGGGAUCUUUUGUUGUCCCGAGCCGAAUUUGCAUAUAAUAGCUCUGUUAAUAAGUCCAUUGGCAUGAGUCCUUUUGAAGUAAUUUAUGGAUAUCAACCUAGAAAACCAAUAGAUUUCAUCCCACUACCCAUGCAUGCUAGGAUUNNNNNNNNNNNNNNNNNNNNNNNNNNNNNNNNNNNNNNNNNNNNNNNNNNNNNNNNNNNNNNNNNNNNNNNNNNNNNNNNNNGUCCAAGAGUUUGCAGAAGGAGACUAUGUGAUGGUUCGAUUGAGGUCUGAACGGUUUCCACCCGGAACCAUGAAGAAGUUACAUGCCCGAAGAGCAGGUCCGUUUAAGAUCAUAAAGAAAAUCAGAUCAAAUGCGUAUGUUGUGGACCUACUUUUUGAUUUUGGGAUUAGCUCUACUUUUAACAUUACAGAAAUUGUCGCCUAUAAAGAACCAACUCGGAUACCUAGUGAGCCAUUUGAGCCUGAACCAACCUUUGAGAGCGAGUCUGUCCCUGAGUGUCCACCAGCCAAAAUGUCAGCAAAACAUGAUCAGAUUGAGAGAAUUUUGGAUGAGCAGAUCCUCUCCAUCUGGAGUCGAGGCUAUCAGCGGUAUCUGAUCAGAUGGCGAGGUCGAUCGGAGUCUGAAGAUACCUGGAUCACUCGAGAAGAGCUGCAAUGCAUUGAUCCCGAUCUACUUGAGCGUCACCAGAGCAGAAUCGACCCACACUUGACAGGGUCGAGUUUUCCUCACCUCGGGAGAAUUGAUGCGGACACCAGAGCCAUAAAAAAUCGGCAACAUGAUUUAAAUUCGAUUUGGAUCGAAGAAGUCUCAUUAGAUUGAUUCUACUUUAGUUAUUUAUUUUCAGUCAAUAAAUUUUUAAUGCAUUUAGCUUUGGGUCCAUAGGGCCAUACUUGGAUUUGUCCACGUCACCUUUGGAGCCACCACUCUCCACAUGCCAAGAGAAGAAAUAUGCAUGCCAGCGUGUGCCGUGCUCAUGCCAAGUUGUGUCAAGCAUCAAGCACCCACAUGGAGUUUCAUUUCUUUUCGAGAAUUCCUUAAGAGUUCUUGGCUACUUACUUAUUUUGUUGAGGGCUGAUUUUUUUCCCAUGGUAGAUUAUUUUAUCACAUAUAAUGCUUUACUUUUUUGUAGAGGGCUGAUUUCUUCCUUGUAAAAGGUAAGAGAUUCCUAAAGAAAUAGGAUCUUUAGAGUCCUAUAUAAAUCCUUGUAUCUUUCAUGAAGAGGAUAAUGAAUAAUUUUAUAAAUUUCACAAAUACUUGUGUUAAUCGCUCCGAGAGGGAGAGGGUGUGAGACUCAAAAUUGCCCCACAAGGGGAGGGUGUGAGGCCCACUUUCUAUCCUACUCCUUCUACUUAAGAUCCAGUGUUCCUGCGACUCUGAUUCGACUCCACCAUCUACCCACGCAAGCCUAUUCUGCCAAGAGAAGAUCUGUCUCCUUCAGAAUUUUCAUCUAUCGUGCUGAGAGGGAGUGAUUUCUUAUUCUACAGAUCAUAUGCUGUCAAGAACCUUCAUUCCUUAACAGUUGAUCUUUGAUUUUUUUUUAAUCCGAUGUUGGUAAAGACCUAGUUCUUUAUCGAUGGAUCUGUUUGGUUAAAAGAUUAAGAGCCCUAAUCAGAGUAGUUUCUUAACUACCACGAUCUGGAUUCUUAUCACUUUCUUGGAUUUUUCUCACGGGUUUAAUGUUUUAUUUUCUCUCGUUCCAUUCAUAUUUUUUUUUGCAUUUACUCGUGAGCAUGUUUAAUUUCUGCUAUCUGUUUAUGAAAUUCUCUAUUGCUAGUUGUUUACUGAUCUCUCGAAUGGCAUUCGUCUGUAUCAUUUAGAUUGAUCUCGCUUU
rnacentral:lncRNA from 1 species